CUCUCUCUAGAGUAAGGUGCUAUAUUAAUAUAAAGAAAAAGAUCCUUACUGUCAAGCUCAGUACCUCUGGGCCUGGAGGUGUCAACUAGCUGAAAAAAAAUCCCUAGAACAAAAGUUGAUUUGAUGAUCUAUUACCAGAAGAGUCAAGCUGUUGUGACACCACAGCAAUGGAUAUCAACACCGAGUGCUGAUAGGUAAAGCCUCAAGGCAGAGAAAAUGUCAUUUGAAGCAAAUGGAAACCAUUUGAUGAUAACCCAAGAGAUCGCGAACAGCAGGCAUAUAUUGAAAAAGAAGAAUGGCUCUUGUCUUAGGGGUACUGGGAGCUCCAAGAAAUGUUCCUCAGUAGGUGGAGUGGGCGGUGUCCUUGUCAGAGGAACUUAG
rnacentral:lncRNA from 1 species